AGCGAUUUCUUGUCGUUCAUCAAUGGUAGACCAUUGAAAGCGAUCACCAUCUCGUGGACUGGAACGUUGCUUUCAAUCUCACACAGAGCCUUGAAACUCUCCAGCUCCAUAUCCUCGAUGACGUCCAGCACGAAAAUGUCGUCGCUGAGUGUGGUUACCGUUACCUUCAUCGUGUUUACUAAUUGUUCCGUGUGGAUUUAAUAAUCGAAUAAUAAUAAGAGAAAGAAUAGGCAAUAAUAACAGUUACUUAGUGACAAUAAAUUUUACACAAGAAUUUUUGCCGCUCCCCUCGCGCACGGGAUGGCCGUACGAAGAGCGGCUACGGGAUGUAAACAACAACCCAGCUCAGCGAAAAUACUGACUAGCCUCAAGGCUCGACCUGAAGGCCAUUUAAGUCACCUCGAGACAUCGAAACAGAUCGAGAUAAAUAUUGCACGAUUCUAAAAAUUCGUCGUAUUUUGGAACAUUUUGCGAUAUUCAAUCGAUAUUGUGGUCAGAAAGAAGUAGGGGGUAAAGGUGGUGUACCCAAGCAUGAAACGUUCAGGGGAUCGUGCCCUCCUAGAGGGUACAGCCACGAGGACACCGCAGGGGAUGCCAUCCCUUAUAAACCGGAAACGGAUGUAGAAGUGGAUAUUAGACAGGUGGUUCAAAAUUUCGCGUUGGACAAGGCUGAUGGUUAAAUUAGCGCAUGAUUUCGACAGCUCGCUUGAUUACACUCAUAAAACCGGAUAUUCCAGGGUAAAUAUUGUAUAGCAUUAUUUCACGCUGGAAAAUAGUAUUUUAUAUACAUUGUAGAAUUUCAUAAAUUAAUAAACAGUACUUGAAAAAUAUAUAUAAUAAAAGUAUCAAAAUGAAAACUAA